UCAGGUAGCUCAGUCGGUAGAGCAGGGGACUGAAAAUCCCCGUGUCGGCGGUUCAAUUCCGUCCCUGA
rnacentral:tRNA from 1 species